UUAAGUUUUCUUGGAUCAGUUAUUGUAUAACCUUGUCAGUCAAGCAACUAUAGGAUGACUUACAGGAUGACAGGUGUAGGAUGGUUUUCAAAAGUCGCAUUGAGAGCUCCAUUUUAUGCACUACUAAACUGUUGGAUACUGUUAGUAGAUAAUGGGAAAAUUCCAUAGUAGAUGAAGUGGAAAGGUUAAUUAGCCCAUUGUGAUUUUAGGACUAUCUGUCUACCAACAUCAGUAGACAUCUGAUUUUUCUUUGUUGUUUUCCUAGCUCCAAGGUGCUAAAAUAAUGCUAACAAGACAAUUUAUUCAAAUUACUUGGAGACAUUAUACACAAAAAUAAAUUUGUGGCACGUAUUAGUCUGCUUGGGCUGCCAAAACAAAAUGCCACACACUGGGUGGCUUAAACAACAGAUAUGUAUUUCUUACAACUGUGGCAGCUGAGAAAUCCAAGAUCAAAGUGCUAGAUAAUUCAGUUCCUGGUGAGGGCUCUCUUCCUGGCUUGUAGAUGGGCACCUUCUUAAUAUCCUUAUGUGGUGGAGUAAAAGUACUCUCAUGCCUUUUUCUUUUCUUAUAAGGAUACUAGACCUAUCAAAUUAGAGCCCUAUCCUUAUGACCUUGUUUAACCUUUAUCAUCUCCUCAGAGGUCCUAUAUACAAAUAUAGUCUUGUUGGGGAUUAGGACUUCAACAUAUGAAUCAUGAGGAGACACAACCAUUUAGUGCAUAACAGUAUAUAAAUAAUAAGAUUGAUAUAUUCUAUUGCACUUCUUAAGAACUUUACAACUUCAGCAAGUGGAAUCUUUGGCAAUGAUGACUGAUUUGACUCUUGUCUACAUUUUUUUUUUUUCCCCUAAUUUAACGUCCACUUAGAGGAUUAGCUCUGCCCAAUGCUAUGGGAUCAUUCUUGUUCUGAAACUAGGAACAGCUAAAGACCCCAUGCUAGUUAAUGCUUAGUCUGAGUGUUUGUAGUUUUUGCUCUGAAUUUCUACUCAAGCUCUACGAGUGAGGCUCCUUCCUCUUAUCUGGUCCAGUUCUUUAUGUGAACUCAAGUAACUAGAUCCUGGUCUUAUCUAUUCAGUGCUGUAAUACAUACCUUCAGGGUGGCUGAUUUACUCAGCCACUCAAACCCAUUGUGGGAUAGGGGUAGACAGGUGAGCAGGUGCAUGAGCUGGGGCAAGUGCCUUUGGGUGCUGGCAGGAAUGCACCCUGUACCGGCCUGCAACAAUAUCUAGGGGUUGUCCAUGACCUCUGGAGCCCCAGAGGGUGUGUGGUACAAACAAUUCUCUUUUAGCUUUGCCACUGCACACAGCUUAAGUGUUAAACACUCAGUGAAGACUCUGUGUGACAGCCUUUUUGGGUUCCAGCACCCAGUGUGUCCUGUAUUCUUGUCCAGAAUCCAGGAAGAAUCAGGUCACACAAAUGGAUUGAAGGGUGAUGUAUGCAGAGAGUUUUACUGAGCAGUGGCAGUGACUCUUAAUAGGAUGGGGAGCUGGAAAGGGGAUGGAGCAAGAAGAUAAUCUUCCCCUGGAGUUUGGCUGGGGAUGAACCAUAGUCCCCAAUGUUCAGCUGCCUCUUCUCCUCUCAGUGUUCAGAUGCUGCUUCUCUCCUUCUCUGCCGAGCCACUCUGGCCCUUUGCCAGGGGAGCUUGGGGUUUUUAUGGGUGCAGGGCAAGGUGUGUGGAGGGCCAGGGUGGUUUUGGAAAAGGUAUCUUUUGGUCGGGACAACAGGAAUGCAUAUUUUUAUUUAGGGCUGUGAGUCCAGGCUUGAGGGUGGAGCCCUCACCAGUGACCUCGCCCUCUUCUACCCAGUGUUUCCCUGCAUCCUGUCCUUAUCAUCACGAAAUAUGAGACUUAAGAAAGGGCCAUCUAAACUUCAGUUCACACCAGGACAGAUCUAUGAGGAAGAGGAGGCAGAGCCUGAUCAUACUACAUGGAUACAUAUGUGCUUCUUCACAAAUGCUGUUGUCUAAAGAAAGUAACCAACCCAGAUUGAUGGCAGAGUUUAUCUUACCAUCUGAUUUAAAUCCUGCUGUACAAGGCUAACAGAUGUGACAAUUCCUGAUGUCCUAUUUUAUGUUCCUUCUACAUCACCAUAUGGCAACCAUAUUUAUAUGGUCAGUAUUAGACAUAUACUCUUCAUCAAGAAUUAUUUCCAAUUUAGAAUGAUUUGAGGAGAUUUGCUAUUGUAUGCAGGCCUAUGACUAAAUCUCAACAAGUAAAGCCAAACAAAAUUACUUAGUUUGAGUGACAGAGGGAAUACUGAACAAAAGAAUUUAACAUUAUUUGAGAAGAAAUUUGUUUUAAGAUGUUAAUUGGAAAACAACCUUAAACACCAAUUGAAUAGAAGUGUUUUGACUUUUCAAGGGGUCAUUGUAGACUUUUGAGACAAAUGGAUGUUGAAGUGGAAUAUUCUAUUAUAGGUUUAUAUGCUUGGAGUGAAUCAAUAUAUGUACUUCUAUUUGCUGGUAGCUUGCUACACUUCUGAAUUAGAGUACAAAUACUAUAAAAUGUGAUAUCUUCUAUGGCAAAGAACAGUUUAAUAAUAUGAAGAAUCCAGUCAUCUGCAAUAGUUUAAAAAUGGCAUAGAAUUCAAAUAGCUCACAAGUCUUUUGACAUAAAUAAAAUGUAAUAACUUUCAAACAUUUCAUAGGUAGACAUGCAGUCAUCAAAAAGAAUAAUACAAAAGUGACAUGAGAAAUAGAGAUUUAACAAUUUUUGCUUAUGUGAUAUGUUUUCCUUUUAUACUUAACACCAAAUCCUGUGUUAUCACAAGUGAAUUGUGUAAUUUGGGUUUCUCUUCACCUUUCUGAUUUUUAUUAUACAGUUGACUCAUGAACAACACAAAUUUAAACUCUGUGGGCCCACCCAUAAUCAGGUUUUUUUCAGCCAAAUGUGGAUUGCAAAUACAGUAUUUUCUGGAUGUGAAAUCCAUGUAAUAAGGAAGGCUGACUUUUAUGUAUGUGGGUUUUGUAGGUCCGACUGUAGGACUUCAGUGAGUCUGCAUGGAUUUUGGUAUACACAGGAGGUCCUGGAACUAAUGCCCCACGGAUACUGAGUAAUGACUGUAUACCUUAUAUUUCUGAUAGUUACAGAGAAGAGAAAACCAAGAUCAGUGAUGCUAAAGGGUUCCAAGUGAAAAUACCAGUUGGACAAACUUGUAGGAAAUUUGAGUUUCUAUUAUUCAUCUAAUAUAUAUACAAAUUACUUCCCUUUUUUUCUUCCAGCAUCUUUAAAUACUCUAUAUUUUUCCUACAUGAACACUUUACCGGGUCUCUCUGACUCAUCCCAAUCUCUCUUUUCUUUGAAUUCUACCCAUUCUAAUUUUAUAACUAUGCUUUUGGAAGCUUACAUUUUUAUAUGAAUGUUUUAUAUGCAUCUUCUUUUUCUAACCAUGCAGGAGCUAUAUUUUUGCCCUAUUAAAGUGUUAAACUUGGAGCAGCACUCAGUGUGUAUAUGCUGAGUUGUUAUUAGGCUUUCAACCCUAUCAUUUCUAGGUGUGUGUAAACCUCAAUGUGAUAGGAAAGUUUGGGAAGCUGGCCUCAAUGAAUAGCUUUUCUUACUUAUUUAGUUAAGUCCUCAUAGGCUAAGGAUUUUUCCCCUUCCUGGCACUCCAAAUAAGUUAUGCUUUUGCCUCAAUUCUUAAAAAGUGAACCCUGAACUUGCUUCUAUUCUUACCAGAACAUUGAGCCAAGUAAAGGAGAGAUGCAAAUAGCUACGGGCUGUUUUUAUUUAAAACCUCUACCCCAUGGGUGUUUCUUGAAAUUGGCUAGUCUAACUUGUAAACAUCUGUUGCUUAGACUUCUUAGUCUUUGCAGUUGAUGUUUUGCAUUUUAGAGGUGAUAUUAUCUCAGUUGUGAUGAACUAAGUGGGAUGUUAAUAGGAAGAAAAAAUGAUUUUUAUAGCAACAUUGCAUCAAGUAAAACUAGGUUGAUAGAGAAUGUGAGAACAGUAAAAUUCUUCAGAUAAAAGAAAUAGCAAGCAGUAUUUGCACAUGGUCUUGUCAUUUCAAUAUUCUUCAAACCCAGGCUUCCUGAUGAGGGCGCUAAUGAAGAAUACUGUUGGAAUUAUCUUUUCUAAAGGCAUUUUCAUUCUAUUACCACCCCCCACGCCACCGCCACACACACGCACGCACACACACACACACACACACGCACACACACACAUACACAUGUCUCUUAUUUCCUCUUUCAUUCACAAAUAUCCACUCUAUUCCAGGCACUGUACUGGAGAUGGAGAUAAACGGAUGAACAUGUCCUUAUGGCACAUUCAGUCCAGUACUGUGUAAGAUGGCAAAGAGCAGAGGAAAAUUGUUGACUAGGAAUACAUUCUUUAUUUCAGAAUUUUAUAUCUUGGUUGAAAGGCUAAUAAAUUCCAAGUGUGCUUUUAUCUCUUCCUAAAUCAGCCUGUUUCAUCUGUCAAUACAUACAUAUCCACAGUAGUGAACACGUGUAUAUUUUUAAUGAACAUGUACCAAAGGAAACAUAUUCUGCCAUCUCUGAAGACAUUUUUAUCACAAGCUGACUUUGGGGAAUUCUGAAUAUAUGCAGUGCCAAUAUCCUGAAAGAUGAUGGAAAGGGAUUAGAUCUUAUAGCAGUAAUGGCUUCAUUUUCCUUAGCUCAUAUUAAAUCUUUCGGCCAAACAGAAAAAAAAGUAACAUAUACAAAUAAUUGUAUUGCUCAACAAAGGGAUCUGAAGGAUGCUGUAUUUUGAUUCAUCAAACCAAGUGGCAUGUAUCCCAGUGGAUGGAACUUUCUGCUUGGAAUUAGAAGACUAGUGUUCUGAGGCCUUUGGGAAGAAAAGAAGAAGAAGUGGAAGAUGGAUGUCUUAUUCUACUGCUUAUGAUUAUGAACUUGAGUAUAUUACAUAACAUUUGAAGGAUUUGUUUCCUUUUCUUUAAGAUGAUUAAAAUAAAUACCAGUUUUGUCUCAUGAGGAUCCCAUUUGUGAGAAUAACUCAUAAACAGAUGAGAAUGAUACAGCUCUAUCUUUGUUUUUAACUAUUGGCCAAAUAUUACCUAAAACUUUUCAUUUUAAUUUUAAAAUUGAUAUAUCUAAAAUCCAGACCUAUCAGUCUGAAGUGGUGAAACUUUAUACUGGCUGCAGUUUAUAAUUACCUAAAAAAUCUUAAAAAAAAUGCUGUGGCCUUGGUAAUUGGGAUGGUACGGAGCUUGAGAAUCUUAUGUCUUUAAAUCUCUCCUUGGGAUCCACUGUGCAGUCAGGUUGAAAAUUGUUGGUUUAAAGUCAAGUACUUCAAACAUGAGCACCUUUAUAUAUCAAGCAGCAGCGUUCUAGCUCCUAGAGCAAUAAAUGCUAUGUGUAGCUAAGAAUUAAAUAGGAGAUAUUCUUUAUCAAAAAGCCAUCAUAAAGGUGGACACUGUUAAGUGAGGAAAGUGGAAAUACUUCCUCAAGGAGUAUGACACUAUAGUGAUUAAACGAUAUACAUUUACUGUUAUCGUGUGGCUGAAAGACAAAAGAUGCUUUAAAAACCUGUGCUGGGGCCUAGAGCUUUGAUUUAUAAAUAGCCAUACCCAGCAAUGAGAGACCAAGGAUGAAGGGAUGAAGAAUCUGUAGACCAUUGCCAACUACAGUAUGAUUCUAAAGUGUGAAUAUUUGCAUGCUACCUGAUAUGGUUUAGCUGUGUCCCCACCCAAAUCUCAUCUUGAAUUGUAGUUUCCAUAAUCCCCAUGUGUCGUGGGAGGGACCCGGUAGGAGGUAAUUGAAUAAUGGAGAUGGUUACCCUCAUGCUGUUCUCAUAAUACUCAGUGAGUUCUCACAAGAUCUGAUGGUUUUAUAAAGGACUUUUCACCCUUUGCUUGGAAUUUCUCUCUCCUGCUGCCAUGUGAAGAAGGAGAUGUUUGCUUCCCCCUCCACCACAAUUGUAAGUUUCCUGAGGUUUCCUCAGGCCUGUACAACUGAGAGUCAAUUCAACCUCUUUCCUUUAUAAUUUACCCAGACUUAGGCAGUUCAUUAUAGCAGUGUGAGAAUGGACUGAUACACUGCCACAGUCUGUUUAAGGACUGGGGAUGAUUUGACUGAGCCAAAGGGUGUGUGCUUACUUUCAGAGUGCACCCGUACUUUAGAAUAGACAGAAUUCUGGGUCAUUGGUGAUAUUUCUUUAAUAUAUUUCAUACCAGCAUUCAGAUUUGGAGAGAAAGAGCUGAAAAACACAGCAUGUCUGCCAGUUUUAAAGAGUUCCCACUACUACAUCCACAAAAGAUAGAAAAGUUCUAGGACUUAGUGAUAUUUCUGCCAAAUUAUUUAAGCUAAACUUUAAAAAUCAUAUGUCAUGGUCUUCCCUACUUAAAACAUUUCUAUAAUUCUCAGUUUUCUAUUGAAUAAGCUAUAAGCCCAUUAUCUUGACACUCAAAGCCUUUGGAGAUUUUGGCAACCAGAUUUCCCUUAACUUUGCUGUACUUGCUCCAGGAAUCCUACACUGAUCCUGAUACUAUUAGUUUCUCUUUUGAACUCUUGUACUACUUUGUACAACUUUUAGAUAAACUGAUUCACUCAUCUUUAUAUUAUUUUCCGUCACUUUUAGUUAUAAUAGAAUUAAUACUAAUAACAGCUGUCUUCUUUCAGAAGCUGACCUUGAGGUAAUUCAUGUAAAAAUGAUAGACGAGGAAGUGUUCCUAGGAAAAAACCAGUAGCAGAGUUGGGAAGUAGACAUGGAAUGGCAGGAAGCCAAGCAAUGGUGAGAGAUCCUGUAAAAUCCCAGGAGGAGGUGGGUGUAAUGUAACUUAGUUCUGCAGGGUAGCUCUGCAGAUAGUCUGAGGCUCACCUUAGAGUCCCACUUAGGAAGCCAGGGGGAUGGAUAGAGUGUUUGUACGUCCCUACCCCUGUUAGUCAUUAGCUACAGGCAGAAGUCUGGGAGGUGGCAUGAACUCCCUGCACUUUCCUAUCCCUGUGGGUGUAGGCAAAGCAGUUUCGGCAGUCUGCAGGCAACUUUGUGACAAGGAGCUACAGAGGCUGGGGGUGGGUGCCAGUGUGCUUGUAGCUGGUGUGCAGGAAGCUGGUAAGGGGAGACAAGGUAAUAUGGGCAGGGUGGCCAUAUAUUCUUUUAACUUCUGUGUUAAAUUACUUCUUGGACUGGAAGCUGCUUGGAAGCAGUUAUGUAUCCCUAAUUCUUAUAAUACCUUAUCUAAAAUAUUAAAUAUAAUGCUUUCAUAAGUAUUCAGUGAUUAGAUGAGUCAGUGUUUAUUAUUAUUUACAAUUUUCUUUAAAAAAUUUUUUUUGAGACAUGGUUUCACUCUGUAACUCAGGCUGUUUUUUUUGUUUGUUUGUUGUUUUAACUUUCUGUAGAGAUGAGGUCUCUCUUUGUUGCCCAGGCUGGUCUCCAACUCCUGGGCUUAAGCAGUCCUCCUGCCUCAGUCUUCCAAAAUUCUGGGAUUACAAGCGAGAGCCCGCCUGCCGAGCUGCUUUUUUUCUCUAAAUGUUUCUAACUGUAGAACAUGUGCACUGAUAAUCCUUUGGGAUGUGAUCAGAUCUCUCUCCUGGUGCUCAUUUCAGAACAUUCUCCUGAGCUCAAACAGCGAAUGAUUGAGGAACCCCAAAUUAGCUGUUACACAGAGAGCUGACCUAAGAUACCUCAGAGUAGAAGGGACUGGAUCACAUUUCCCCGCCUAACUGGCUGAUAACACUUGCAAGCUGCUGAAAAACAAAAACAAAAACAAAAUAUA